AACCUGCGGAAGGAUUAUUG
rnacentral:rRNA from 1 species